UAGGGAAUUUUGCGCAAUGGGCGAAAGCCUGACGCAGCAAUUCCGCGUGGAGGAUGACGGCCCUCGGGUUGUAAACUCCUUUCGGUGGUGAAGAUAAUGACGGUAGCCACAAAAGAAGCACCGGCUAACUACGUGCCAGCAGCCGCGGUAAUACGUAGGGUGCAAGCGUUGUCCGGAUUUAUUGGGCGUAAAGCGUCCGCAGGCGGUUUGAUAAGUCUAAUGUUAAAUACCGGAGCUCAACUCCGGACAAGCAUUGGAUACUGUCAGGCUAGAGUUUGGUAGAGGUAAGGGGAAUUCCUGGUGUAGCGGUGAAAUGCGUAGAUAUCAGGAGGAACACCGGUGGCGAAAGCGCCUUACUGGACCAUAACUGACGCUCAGGGACGAAAGCUAGGGUAGCGAAAGGG
rnacentral:rRNA from 1 species